GGCGAACCGGGGGAACUGAAACAUCUAAGUACCCCGAGGAAAAGAAAUCAACCGAGAUUCCGAAAGUAGCGGCGAGCGAAAUUGGACUAGCCCUUAAGCUUUACACGCGUUAGACGAACGGUCUGGAAAGUCCGACGAUACAGGGUGAUAGUCCCGUAGUUGACGACGUGUGUUCAGUGAAAUCGAGUAGGGCGGGACACGUGAUAUCCUGUCUGAAUAUGGGGGGACCAUCCUCCAAGGCUAAAUACUACUGACUGACCGAUAGUGAACCAGUACCGUGAGGGAAAGGCGAAAAGAACCCCUGUGAGGGGAGUGAAAUAGAACCUGAAACCGUGUACGUACAAGCAGUAGGAGCAGGCUUUGUCCUGUGACUGCGUACCUUUUGUAUAAUGGGUCAGCGACUUAUAUUCAGUGGCAAGGUUAACCAUCUAGGGGAGCCGUAGGGAAACCGAGUCUUAACUGGGCGUUCAGUCUCUGGAUAUAGACCCGAAACCAGGUGAUCUAGCCAUGGGCAGGUUGAAGGUUGAGUAACAUCAACUGGAGGACCGAACCGACUAAUGUUGAAAAAUUAGCGGAUGACUUGUGGCUAGGGGUGAAAGGCCAAUCAAACCUGGAGAUAGCUGGUUCUCCCCGAAAGCUAUUUAGGUAGCGCCUCGGACGAAUACUACUGGGGGUAGAGCACUGUUAAGGCUAGGGGGUCAUCCCGACUUACCAACCCUUUGCAAACUCCGAAUACCAGUAAGUACUAUCCGGGAGACACACGGCGGGUGCUAACGUCCGUCGUGGAGAGGGAAACAACCCAGACCGCCAGCUAAGGUCCCAAAUUACUACUAAGUGGGAAACGAUGUGGGAAGGCUCAGACAGCCAGGAUGUUGGCUUAGAAGCAGCCAUCAUUUAAAGAAAGCGUAAUAGCUCACUGGUCGAGUCGGCCUGCGCGGAAGAUGUAACGGGGCUAAGUAGUAAACCGAAGCUGCGGCAAUGUGCUUUUGCACAUUGGGUAGGGGAGCGUUCUGUAAGCGGUUGAAGGUGUGUGGUAACGCAUGCUGGACGUAUCAGAAGUGCGAAUGCUGACAUGAGUAACGAUAAAGGGGGUGAAAAACCUCCUCGCCGGAAGACCAAGGGUUCCUGUCCAACGUUAAUCGGGGCAGGGUAAGUCGACCCCUAAGGCGAGGCCGAAAGGCGUAGUCGAUGGGAAACGGGUUAAUAUUCCCGUACUUCUUACAAUUGCGAUGGGGGGACGGAGAAGGCUAGGUGGGCCUGGCGACGGUUGUCCAGGUUCAAGUGCGUAGGCUUAAGAGUUAGGUAAAUCCGGCUCUUUUUAAGGCUGAGACACGACGUCGAGCAUCUACGGAUGUGAAGUCAUUGAUGCCAUGCUUCCAGGAAAAGCCUCUAAGCUUCAGAUUGUAAGGAAUCGUACCCCAAACCGACACAGGUGGUCGGGUAGAGAAUACCAAGGCGCUUGAGAGAACUCGGGUGAAGGAACUAGGCAAAAUGGUACCGUAACUUCGGGAGAAGGUACGCUCUCGACGGUGAAGUCCCUCGCGGAUGGAGCUAUUGAGAGUCGCAGAUACCAGGUGGCUGCAACUGUUUAUUAAAAACACAGCACUGUGCAAAAUCGUAAGAUGACGUAUACGGUGUGACGCCUGCCCGGUGCCGGAAGGUUAAUUGAUGGGGUUAGACUUCGGUCGAAGCUCUUGAUCGAAGCCCCGGUAAACGGCGGCCGUAACUAUAACGGUCCUAAGGUAGCGAAAUUCCUUGUCGGGUAAGUUCCGACCUGCACGAAUGGCGUAAUGAUGGCCACGCUGUCUCCACCCGAGACUCAGUGAAAUUGAAAUCGCUGUGAAGAUGCAGUGUACCCGCGGCUAGACGGAAAGACCCCGUGAACCUUUACUACAGCUUGGCACUGAACAUUGACCCUACAUGUGUAGGAUAGGUGGGAGGCUUUGAAGCACGUACGCCAGUAUGUGUGGAGCCGUCCUUGAAAUACCACCCUUGUAGUGUUGAUGUUCUAACGUCGACCCCUUAUCGGGGUUGCGGACAGUGCCUGGUGGGUAGUUUGACUGGGGCGGUCUCCUCCCAAAGAGUAACGGAGGAGCACGAAGGUGGGCUAAUCACGGUUGGACAUCGUGAGGUUAGUGCAAUGGCAUAAGCCCGCUUGACUGCGAGAAUGACAAUUCGAGCAGGUGCGAAAGCAGGUCAUAGUGAUCCGGUGGUUCUGAAUGGAAGGGCCAUCGCUCAACGGAUAAAAGGUACUCCGGGGAUAACAGGCUGAUACCGCCCAAGAGUUCAUAUCGACGGCGGUGUUUGGCACCUCGAUGUCGGCUCAUCACAUCCUGGGGCUGAAGUCGGUCCCAAGGGUAUGGCUGUUCGCCAUUUAAAGUGGUACGCGAGCUGGGUUUAGAACGUCGUGAGACAGUUCGGUCCCUAUCUGCCGUGGGCGUUGGAAGAUUGAAGGGGGCUGCUCCUAGUACGAGAGGACCGGAGUGGACGAACCUCUGGUGUUCGGGUUGUGUCGCCAGACGCAUUGCCCGGUAGCUAAGUUCGGAAUCGAUAACCGCUGAAAGCAUCUAAGCGGGAAGCGAGCCCUGAGAUGAGUCUUCCCUGAUACUUUAAGUAUCCUAAAGGGUUGUCGGAGACUACGACGUUGAUAGGUCAGGUGUGUAAGUGCUGUGAGGCAUUGAGCUAACUGAUACUAAUUGCCCGUGAGGCUUAACCAU
rnacentral:rRNA from 1 species